AUGACGGUACCUGACUAAGAAGCCCCGGCUAACUACGUGCCAGCAGCCGCGGUAAUACGUAGGGGGCAAGCGUUAUCCGGAUUUACUGGGUGUAAAGGGAGCGUAGGUGGCAGGGCAAGUCAGAUGUGAAAACCCGGGGCUCAACCCCGGGAGUGCAUUUGAAACUGUCCGGCUGGAGUGCAGGAGAGGUAAGCGGAAUUCCUAGUGUAGCGGUGAAAUGCAUAGAUAUUAGGAGGAACACCAGUGGCGAAGGCGGCUUACUGGACUGUAACUGACACUGAGGCUCGAAAGCGUGGGGAGCAAACAGGAUUAGAUACCCUGGUAGUCCACGCCGUAAACGAUGAGUACUAGGUGUCGGGGCCCACAGGGCUUCGGUGCCGCAGCCAACGCAUUAAGUAUUCCACCUGGGGAGUACGUUCGCAAGAAUGAAACUCAAAGGAAUUGACGGGGACCCGCACAAGCGGUGGAGCAUGUGGUUUAAUUUGAAGCAACGCGGAGAACCUUACCAAGCCUUGACAUCCUGCUGACCGUCCCUUAGCCGGGGCUUUCCUUCGGGACAGCAGAGACAGGUGGUGCAUGGUUGUCGUCAGCUCGUGUCGUGAGAUGUUGGGUUAAGUCCCGCAACGAGCGCAACCCUUAUCCUCAGUAGCCAGCAAGAGAGAUGGGAACUCUGGGGAGACUGCCGGAGACAAUCCGGAGGAAGGUGGGGAUGACGUCAAAUCAUCAUGCCCCUUAUGGCUUGGGCUACACACGUGCUACAAUGGUGGUAACAAAGUGACGCGACCCCGUGAGGGCAAGCCAACCACAGAAAAGCCAUCUCAGUUCGGAUUGUAGUCUGCAACCCGACUACAUGAAGCUGGAAUCGCUAGUAAUCGCGAAUCAGAAUGUCGCGGUGAAUACGUUCCCGGGUCUUGUACACACCGCCCGUCACACCAUGGGAGUUGGAAAUGCCCGAAGCCAGUGACCCAACCGAAAGGAGGGAGCUGUCGAAGGUGGAGCCGAUGACUGGGGUGAAGUCGUAACAAGGUAA
rnacentral:rRNA from 1 species